AAACUAACAAGGAUUCCCUUAGUAGCGGCGAGCGAAGCGGGAAGAGCUCAAAUUUGAAAGCUGGCGUCCUACGGGCGUCCGCAUUGUAAUCUAUAGAGGCGUUUUCUGUGCUGGACCGUGUCCAAGUCCCUUGGAACAGGGUAUCAAAGAGGGUGACAAUCCCGUACUUGACACGACAACCAGUGCUCUGUGAUACGUCUUCUACGAGUCGAGUUGUUUGGGAAUGCAGCUCAAAAUGGGUGGUGAAUUCCAUCUAAAGCUAAAUAUUGGCGAGAGACCGAUAGCGAACAAGUACCGUGAGGGAAAGAUGAAAAGCACUUUGGAAAGAGAGUUAAACAGUAUGUGAAAUUGUUGAAAGGGAAACGAUGGAGGUCAGUCGUGUCUGUGGGAUUCAGCCGUCUCUGGCGGUGUACUUCCCACAGACGGGUCAACAUCAGUUUUGGCUGGCGGAUAAAGGCAGGAGGAAGGUGGCACCCCCGGGUGUGUUAUAGCCUCU
rnacentral:rRNA from 1 species